rnacentral:rRNA from 1 species
UAAUACGGGGGGGGCAAGCGUUGUUCGGAAUUACUGGGCGUAAAGGGCUCGUAGGUGGCCAACUAAGUCAGACGUGAAAUCCCUCAGCUUAACUGGGGAACUGCGUCUGAUACUGGAUGGCUUGAGAUUGGGAGAGGGAUGCGGAAUUCCAGGUGUAGCGGUGAAAUGCGUAGAUAUCUGGAGGAACACCGGUGGCGAAGGCGGCAUCCUGGACCGACAUUGACGCUGAGGAGCGAAAGCCAGGGGAGCAAACG